rnacentral:lncRNA from 1 species
UUAGAGUUGAUUUUUCAUUAGAGUUCUCUUAACUUUUCAUUGUUUGGCUUCACUAAACACAAGUGAAGCAAAAAAUGCAACCAACCUAUUCAGUUUUUCCAUAACAUACAUUAAAUGUUGUAGUAGCUUGGUCUCUUUUGGUGUAGCCUCAUUUGUAUUUGCAGGUGCUGGUUGAUAAUUUAGUCAAUGUAUUUUCUUUAGUUAGCUUGGUGUAGCUUGGUCAUCUUUAAAUAUGCAUUGAUAUUCAUUAAUCAAUUGUUGUAUAAUUUUGUUAUGCUAUACAUCACUUUACUGUAAAUCUUUUGUUCAACAUGUUUUUAUCAUUUUCUUCUUUUAACCUACAUGUAAGCAUCUACUUAUUGUGUAAUAGAAAUUUUGCAAAGGGUAGCUUGAUAUAUUUGGUGUUGAUUUUCUUUUGCAUUGGCAGGUUGUAAUUCAUGGUUUGGGUAGAAAGUUGAAAAUUUCUACACAGCCACAUGAUUUAGCAAAGAUGGUGAAGGGGUUAAGGUUGAUCUGAGAAGUAAAGAUGUUGGCAAAUGUCGGUGAAUGUUGUGGUGCAUGAGAAUUAUUGUCACAUUGUAUGACUGAUUCAUAACAUUAGAAUGAUCAGUACAAAUGUUAGUCAAUGUCGGUGAAUGUUGUUGUGCAUGAUAAUUAUUGUCACAUUGUAUGACAAAAUUCUAAACAUU